rnacentral:rRNA from 1 species
GACGAACGCUGGCGGCGUGCUUAACACAUGCAAGUCGAACGGAAAGGCCCUGCUUUUGUGGGGUGCUCGAGUGGCGAACGGGUGAGUAACACGUGAGUAACCUGCCCUUGACUUUGGGAUAACUUCAGGAAACUGGGGCUAAUACCGGAUAGGAGCUCCUGCUGCAUGGUGGGGGUUGGAAAGUUUCGGCAGUUGGGGAUGGACUCGCGGCUUAUCAGCUUGUUGGUGGGGUAGUGGCUUACCAAGGCUUUGACGGGUAGCCGGCCUGAGAGGGUGACCGGCGACAUUGGGACUGAGAUAAGGCCCAGACUCCUAAGGGAGGCAGAAGUGGGGAAUAUUGAACAAGGGGCGGAAGCCUGAUGCAGAAACGCCGCGUGCGGGAUGACGGCCUUAGGGUUGUAAACCGAUUUCGCCUGUGACGAAGCGUGAGUGACGGUAAUGGGUAAAGAAGCACAGGCUAACUACGUG